rnacentral:lncRNA from 1 species
CAGUCGUCAGACCCGUGUUGAGGUAUUGAUUUUUAGGAAAGAAAAUGUCUUCACGUGAAGAAGAAAAAAAAUCAGUCACAUCUGUAUUUAUUGCAAGUAAAAAUGUAUAAAAAGCGAGAACAGUAGACUUCGUGUUUCGAAGGUGCAUCACCUUUUAAGGGUUACAUAUUUCUCUGGUAUCUUGUACUUCGGUCAGAACACUUUAAAGGACCACUGGGAACGUGAAGAACACAUUUUGAACGUUUGUAUACAAGAGAAACGAGUGACAAAAGCCCUUAAAAUAGAUAGUCCGUCAAUCGGACCACCUCUGGAGGAGCGGAGCUGUCUGUUUUCAGUGGGAGGUAAAGGCUGUUCUUUAUUGACCUCAAGACUAGUCAGUUCCCCGAUUUACACAGAGUAACGCUUGUACGACAGAGGCAAGGGACCACUACCACCACUGAUUUGUGAAAGUUGGCUGACAACUUAAAAACGUAAAAACACCAGAACCAGGCUGCCAUCAAGAUCCAGUGUGAAGGCAAGGCAGCAGCUGCCCCUCUGCGUCUGUCUGGCUCUUACACAGUCACCUGCGUCACGUCCACCUCCAGCCAAACAGCAGGGACUCAUGGCCCAGCCGAGGAGUUGUGAGGGGGGCUAUUCCCUGUGGGAGCAGAAUAACAAUGGCUGGGUGUCCCUGAGCUCCUCGGCACGGGUGACCCCCUCAGGACCCCGGUCCUCUGAGAACUGGAGAUCCAGGCCUCCUCUACGGCCAUCCAGCCCUCUGUCUCUCAGCCAUCUGGACACCCACCAGAAGAGGAGGUCUCCUGUUAAGGCACAGCACUGCCCACCCCAGAGCAAGCCAGCGUGGGACAGUCUGAAUGAUCACACAGGGACCGCAGUGAGAGGGCUUUACUCCACACACAGCUCUUCCGGGAGUGAAGGUGGUGUGGAUGGCUGGGAGCUCCCUGGGCUGAGGCGCUGGCGCUCCCUGUCCCGUCUGGCACCCGAGGGGGCCCCGCGGCCCACGUCGCCCGCCGGCCAAGAGCUGCGCACAGCGCUGGUGGAGAGCGGCGCCAGGCGGGCCGAGCUCGUGCGGCAGCUGAGGGAGGCCCACAGCCGGCUGGAGCAGCAGGCAGAGCUGCUGCGCGGGCGGGACGGCCAACUGGACGCGCACCGGGCGCAGACUGAGCUGCUGGAGCUCAAGCACAAGGUGAGGGGACACGUUCCCAGGUGCCUCUGACUCUCCUUCUCUCCGGGCCUCAGCGUUUUACCUCCCAUCUAGAGUGUCUUUUACAGCACGAAAACACGUACAAACAUUUCAAACCUUGAAUAAGUUAAUAAACACAGUUAGUGAAUAAGCUGAGAAAUGGAAACUUUGUGACCGUGUGACGAACGUUGCUUGAUUUCUGUGCACGGAUUCCAGAGCAGGAGCCUCAGGCGCUUGUCCCUGGGACUGGUUGACAUUGCAGACAUGCAAGAUGCGUGUUAUCCAAGAGCAGCAGGGAAGUGUGGGAUGUAGGGAUACAGAGCAGGGCUGACACACAAACUACAGCCGAGAGGAAAC